rnacentral:rRNA from 1 species
GGCGAGUGAAGCGGCAACAGCUCAAAUUUGAAAUCUGGCUUCGGCCCGAGUUGUAAUUUGCAGAGGAAGCUUUAGGCGCGGCACCUUCUGAGUCCCCUGGAACGGGGCGCCAUAGAGGGUGAGAGCCCCGUAUAGUUGGAUGCCUAGCCUGUGUAAAGCUCCUUCGACGAGUCGAGUAGUUUGGGAAUGCUGCUCAAAAUGGGAGGUAAAUUUCUUCUAAAGCUAAAUACCGGCCAGAGACCGAUAGCGCACAAGUAGAGUGAUCGAAAGAUGAAAAGCACUUUGAAAAGAGGGUUAAAUAGCACGUGAAAUUGUUGAAAGGGAAGCGCUUGUGACCAGACUUGCGCCGGGCGGAUCAUCCGGUGUUCUCACCGGUGCACUCCGCCCGGCUCAGGCCAGCAUCGGUUCUCGCGGGGGGAUAAAGGUCCUGGGAACGUAGCUCCUCCGGGAGUGUUAUAGCCCGGGGCGUAAUGCCCUCGCGGGGACCGAGGUUCGCGCAUCUGCAAGGAUGCUGGCGUAAUGGUCAUCAGCGACCCGUCUUGAAACACGGACCAAGGAGUCAAGGUUUUGCGCGAGUGUUUGGGUGUAAAACCCGCACGCGUAAUGAAAGUGAACGUAGGUGAGAGCUUCGGCGCAUCAUCGACCGAUCCUGAUGUUUUCGGAUGGAUUUGAGUAGGAGCGUUAAGCCUUGGACCCGAAAGAUGGUGAACUAUGCUUGGAUAGGGUGAAGCCAGAGGAAACUCUGGUGGAGGCUCGCAGCGGUUCUGACGUGCAAAUCGAUCGUCAAAUCUGAGCAUGGGGGCGAAAGACUAAUCGAACCAUCUAGUAGCUGGUUACCGCCGAAGUUUCCCUCAGGAUAGCAGUGUUGUCUUCAGUUUUAUGAGGUAAAGCGAAUGAUUAGGGACUCGGGGGCGCUUUUAGCCUUCUCCAUUCUCAACUUUAAUAUGU